rnacentral:rRNA from 1 species
AGUCGAACGAAGUUUUUCGGAACUUAGUGGCGGACGGGUGAGUAACGCGUGAGAAUCUGCCUUAAGGAUUGGGACAACAGUGGGAAACCGCUGCUAAUACCAAAUAUGCCUUUUAGUGAAACGGGUAAAACCGCCUUAAGAUGAGCUCGCGUCUGAUUAGCUAGUAGGUGUGGUAAGAGCGCACCUAGGCGACGAUCAGUAGCUGGUCUGAGAGGACGACCAGCCACACUGGGACUGAGACACGGCCCAGACUCCUACGGGAGGCAGCAGUGAGGAAUUUUCCGCAAUGGGCGAAAGCCUGACGGAGCAAUACCGCGUGAGGGAGGAAGGUUCUUGGAUUGUAAACCUCUUUUCUCAGAGAAGAAUAAUGACGGUAUCUGAGGAAUAAGCAUCGGCUAACUCCGUGCCAGCAGCCGCGGUAAUACGGAGGAUGCAAGCGUUAUCCGGAAUGAUUGGGCGUAAAGGGUCUGUAGGUGGUUGUUCAAGUCUGCUGUUAAAGCGUCUGGCUUAACCAGAUAAAGGCGGUGGAAACUGAACGACUAGAGUGCGGUAGGGGUAGAGGGAAUUCCCAGUGUAGCGGUGAAGUGCGUAGAUAUUGGGAAGAACACCUGUGGCGAAAGCGCUCUACUGGACCGCGACUGACACUGAUGGACGAAAGCUAGGGGAGCGA